CCUACGGGAGGCAGCAGUGGGGAAUCUUGGACAAUGGGGGAAACCCUGAUCGAGCAACGCCGCGUGAAUGAAGAAGGAUUUCGGUACGUAAAGCGCUAUCAGAAGGGAGGAAAAUGACGGUAACUGACGAAGAAGCCCCGGCUAACUACGUGCCAGCAGCCGCGGUAAUACGUAGGGGGCGAGUUUUAUCCGGAGUGACUGGGUGUAAGGGGAGCGUAGACGGCAGCGCAAGGCUGGAGUGAAAUGCCGGGGCCCAACCCCGGAACUGUUCUGGAAACUGUGAAGCUGGAGGGCAGGAGAGGUAAGCGGAAUUCCUGGUGUAGCGGUGAAAUGCGUAGAUAUCAGGAGGAACACCGGCGGCGAAGGCGGCUUACUGGACUGUAACUGACGUUGAGGCUCGAAGGCGUGGGGAGCAAACAGGAUUAGAUACCCUGGUAGUC
rnacentral:rRNA from 1 species